UAAACAAAACAAACAAUAAAUCAAAUUAACAGACAAUGGAAAAAUACAUUCUCAAAAUAAUCAUUAUUCAUGUCAUAGGCCACAAUCCAAUAUAAUAAACAUGAAAAUAAGAAAAGGAAAGAAUAAUUAAAAUAUUUCAAAUCCCUAAAGAACCCCCUCAAAAUGGUAUGGCCCAAAAUGGGCCCAGUGAGCAUGCCCCCAAUUUUGCUCAGGCCCUAUAUAAGGGCAGCUAAAACAAUUGUAGGGCCCUUUGCCAGACCAGGAAGAGAGUACAGGUGAGUGUAUGAAAUGCAAAAAUUGUACCGGCAGCUAUUAAAACAGAAAUGUGUUCCCAGUAGCAUACUUUUAACUGUACAACAUGUUAAAUGUACCAAGCUAGCAGAAUGUUAAACUUUUAAAAGGGGGAAUUAGUAUUAAAUGGAAAAAAUAGCUGUGUAUGUGUAUGCACUGAGAAAAUUACAGCAGGGACAGAACAGGGCUGAAAACUAAUUUGUUUGUUCUGUCACAUCACCCUCCACCCCUCCUGGAUUACACAACGUGGGCAAUCGGGAAAGGUAAUCUGCCAUGAUGUUUUGUCGUCCGCUUCUAUGACGAAUUCGAAACAAAAAAGGCUGCAGCGCCAAGUACCACCUAGUGAUGCGUGAGUUGUGGUCUUUCAUUGACUGUAUCCAAGUCAGAGCUUUGUGGUCAGUUUCUAAAAUGAAUUCUCUUCCCAGCAGAUAAUAACGAAGACUCUCCAAGGCCCAUUUAAUAGCAAGUGCUUCCUUUUCCACUGUGGAAUAUCUUGUCUCUCUCUGCAACAGCUUCCGACUGAGGUACAACACAGGUUGUUCUUGACCUUCAGUACCUUGCAGUAAGACAGCACCAAUUCCAACUGCUGAAGCGUCAACUUGCACCGUGAAUGGCCUGGAAAAGUUUGGGCUGAUCAGAACUGGUUUGGAGCACAGUGCUUCCUUAAGAGCUGUGAAGGAUCGUUCACAAUCGUCUGUCCAUCGAACUGGAUUCUUUUCACACUUGAGGGUCAGUCCAGUAAGUGGGGCAGCAAUAGUGGCAAAUUGGGGAAUGAGUCGACGGUACCAGCCAACCAAGCCAAGGAAAGAGCGUACCUGUUUCUUGGUGUGGGGACGAGAACUUUUCCUAAUGGCUUCCACCUUGUCCACUUGCGGUUGGAUCAAGCCCCUCCCCACCUGAUAUCCAAGGUACUGGGUUUCCAACUGACCCCACUUACACUUGUUCACAUUAAGUGUCAACCCAGCUUCAGCAAUGUGUUCAAGGACAGCGUCAACAUGCUUAAGAUGUUCAUCCCAACUCUUGCUGAAGAUCACCACAUCGUCAAGGUAUGCGGAGCAGUAAUCUUCACAGCCUCUUAAAACACGGUCCAUUAAUCUUUGAAAUGUCGCUGGAGCACCAUGUAGUCCGAAGGGCAUAACAGUGAACUGGAAGAGCCCCAGUGGUGUUCGGAAUGCUGUAUAUUCCCGAGAUUCCUUAGCCAAAGGAACCUGCCAAUAACCUUUGCAUAGGUCAAGGGUUGUAAUGAACUGAGCAUGCCCAAGCCUUUCCAACAGGUCAUCAAUUCGUGGCAUUGGGUAUGCAUCAAACCUUGAAACAGCGUUGAUCUUCCUGAAAUCAAUGCACACCCGUAGAGACCCAUCAGGCUUUGGAACAGUCACUAUUGGGCUACACCAUUCACUUUCAGAGGGCUCAAUGACCCCUAGAUCCAGCAUCGUCUGAAUCUCAGCCUUAAGAGGUUCAAGCAGCCUUUCAGGUACUCUAUAAGGUCUUUGCCGGAUUGGACUGUCAUCUUUAAGAUGAAUGGAAUGCUGUGCCAUGUUAGUGCAUCCAGGUCUUGUUUGGAAAAUGGAGGGAUGACGGUAAAAUACCAGGGUUAAACCAUUUUGUUGCUGAGCAGUCAAAUGGCGCAGACAUGGCUCACAUGAAGAUCUCCAAGAGGGAAGCUGAUCCACCGCAUCUUCACCGUCCUCCUCUACAUGCUGGACCAACAGGGCAAGGUUUGGUUCUUUUCGAUCCUUCCAUUCUCUCAUCAGAUUCACAUGAUAUGUUUGUGUUUUCUUUCCCUUCUCAGGAUGAAGCACUUCAUAGGUCACAGGUCCUUGCUUCUUCAGGACCUCAAAUGGACCUUGCCAUUUUGCCAGAAGCUUGUUGGAAGAGGUAGGAAGCAGCAACAGAAUCUUCUGACCAGGUUUGAAUUCACGCAGACGAGCUUUCUGGUCAUACCAUGUUUUCUGUUUUUGCUGAGCUUUCUCAAGGUGAAGACGGGCCUGCUCUCUAUAGGACUCCAGGCGAUCUCUCAUCUGCAAGACAAAGUCAACAAUGCCCCUCUCUUUACCAUCUUCUGUCUGGUUCUCCCACUGGUGGCGCAAGAGGUCAAGAGGUCCCUGGACAGACCACCCAUACAGGAGCUCGAAUGGCGAGAACCCAGUUGAAGCUUGAGGGUCUGAUUGAACCGUUCAACAAGGCCAUCAGUUUGAGCGUGGUAGGGUGAUGUGCGAAUUCCGGUGAUUCCCAGAUGCUGGUGGAAUUGGGACAUAAGUCGAGAGGUAAAGUUUGUGCCUUGGUCAGUGAGGAUUUCGUCAGGAAACCCCACCCUGGAGAAGAAUUGCACUAGUGCAGAGAUUACCUUGGGGGUGGUGAUAGAGCGCAGAGGAAAAGCCUCAGGAAAUCUGGUGGAGUAAUCACACACAACUAAGAUGUACCUAAAGCCAGAACUACUCUUUUCAAGAGGACCUACGAUAUCCAUGGCUACACGUCUGAAAGGUGUGGCAAUAAUGGGCAUAGGCUGCAGAGGUGCUCUGUCAGUAUGUCGAAUGUGGCUGGUUUUUUGACAUUCAGGGCAUGAACUACAGUAUUUCUGGACGUCAGAAUACAUAGAAGGCCAGUAGAAGCGACGGCUAAUCCUAAGGUAAGUUUUGUUCUGUCCCAGGUGACCUGCCC